GACGAACGCUGGCGGCGUGCUUAACACAUGCAAGUCGAACGGAAAGGCCCUGCUUUUGUGGGGUGCUCGAGUGGCGAACGGGUGAGUAACACGUGAGUAACCUGCCCUUGACUUUGGGAUAACUUCAGGAAACUGGGGCUAAUACCGGAUAGGAGCUCCUGCUGCAUGGUGGGGGUUGGAAAGUUUCGGCGGUUGGGGAUGGACUCGCGGCUUAUCAGCUUGUUGGUGGGGUAGUGGCUUACCAAGGCUUUGACGGGUAGCCGGCCUGGGAGGGUGACCGGCCACAUUGGGACUGAGAUACGGCGCAGACUGCUACGGGAGGCAGCAGUGGGGAGUAUUGCACAAUGGGCGGGAGCCUGAUGCAGCAACGCCGCGUGCGGGAUGACGGCCUUCGGGUUGUAAACCGCUUUCGCCUGUGACGAAGCGUGAGUGACGGUAAUGGGUAAAGAAGCACCGGCUAACUACGUG
rnacentral:rRNA from 1 species